AGAGUUUGAUCCUGGCUCAGGAUGAACGCUGGCGGCGUGCUUAACACAUGCAAGUCGAACGGGGAACCCCUGAUAGAGGAUUCGUCCAAUUGAUGGGAAUUCCUAGUGGCGGACGGGUGAGUAACGCGUGAGUAACCUGCCUUGGAGUGGGGAAUAACACAGUGAAAAUUGUGCUAAUACCGCAUAAUGCAUUUGGGCUGCAUGGCUCUGAAUGCCAAAGAUUUAUCGCUCUGAGAUGGACUCGCGUCUGAUUAGCUAGUUGGCGGGGUAACGGCCCACCAAGGCGACGAUCAGUAGCCGGACUGAGAGGUUGGCCGGCCACAUUGGGACUGAGACACGGCCCAGACUCCUACGGGAGGCAGCAGUGGGGAAUAUUGGGCAAUGGGCGCAAGCCUGACCCAGCAACGCCGCGUGAAGGAAGAAGGCUUUCGGGUUGUAAACUUCUUUUCUCAGGGACGAAGAAAAUGACGGUACCUGAGGAAUAAGCCACGGCUAACUACGUGCCAGCAGCCGCGGU
rnacentral:rRNA from 1 species